rnacentral:rRNA from 1 species
AGUUGAACGGAAUAUGUUGGAAGGGUAACCGGAAGGCAUAUUUAGUGGCGAACGGGUGAGUAAUGCAUGAGAACGUAUCCUCAAGAGGGGGACAACAUUGGGAAACCGAUGCUAAUACCCCAUAAGCCGGGAGGUAAAAGGAGCAAUCCGCUUGAGGAGCGGUUCAUGUCCUAUCAGCUAGUUGGUGAGGUAACGGCUCACCAAGGCGAAGACGGGUAGCCGGCCUGAGAGGGUGAACGGCCACACUGGAACUGAGAGACGGUCCAGACUCCUACGGGAGGCAGCAGUGGGGAAUAUUGGGCAAUGGGGGAAACCCUGACCCAGCGACGCCGCGUGAGGGAAGAAGGCCUUAGGGUCGUAAACCUCUGUUGUGUGGGAAGAAGGAAGUGACGGUACCACACGAGGAAGUCCCGGCUAACUACGUGCCAGCAGCCGCGGUAAUACGUAGGGGACGAGCGUUGUCCGGAUUUACUGGGCGUAAAGGGCGCGUAGGCGGUCAUUUAAGUCAGCUGUGAAAUGGUCUGGCUUAACCGGAUCAUGCGGUUGAAACUGGAUGACUGGAGUGCUGGAGAGGCAAGUGGAAUUCCCAGUGUAGCGGUGAAAUGCGUAGAUAUUGGGAAGAACACCGGUGGCGAAGGCGACUUGCUGGCCAGCAACUGACGCUGAGGCGCGAAAGCCAGGGGAGCAAACGGGAUUAGAUACCCCGGUAGUCCUGGCCGUAAACGAUGAAUGCUAGGUGUGGGCAUCGAGAGGUGUCCGUGCCGG